UACGAAGGGUGCAAGCGUUACUCGGAAUUACUGGGCGUAAAGCGUGCGUAGGCGGUUUGUUAAGUCUGUCGUGAAAGCCCCGGGCUCAACCUGGGAAUGGCGAUGGAUACUGGCGAGCUAGAGUACGGUAGAGGAGAGUGGAAUUCCCGGUGUAGCAGUGAAAUGCGUAGAGAUCGGGAGGAACAUCAGUUGCGAAGGCGGCUCUCUGGACCAGUACUGACGCUGAGACGCGAAAGCGUGGGGAGCAAACAGG
rnacentral:rRNA from 1 species